GGGAACCUGAACCAGCAGGAGUCUCUGCCAAGAGAUUUCUCACUGCACAGUAAAAAUGGUACAAGUCCUUCCAGCAAACCAGAGGAAUGAGCUAAACAUACACUUUGAAAUUGUCACAAGAAGGAAGUCAUCCCGACACCUUCAAAGGGAAUGUUUAUCCCCGCAGGUUUCCUGAUACUUCAGCAUGAGUGCUCUGUACCAACAUCGAGCAAGAUGACUUUUUCUGCAAGAGGAAAUAAAGACUGAAGUCAAAAAUCCUUUAUUUUGUUGCCACUAUCCCAACAAAAUAUAGGAUUUUUAACUUCAUCAGAGUGCCUCAGAUCUCCAGCUUUGAUUGCCACCCUGCACCAUGGACCUUUAUUAACAACUGAAAGGCAAGUCACUGCUCUCAUGCUCAUUUAGACAUCGUUUGUCCUCCUGAAGAGCAACUGAUCCUCCAUGGAUACUCUGACCCCACGCAGAACUCACCCACUUGUUUUUUUUAAUGUAUCCUUUCCUUUUGUUUUAG